UUUUUCACUCGCCCACCAGUCCACCACACUGUCUCCCAUCUCCUUCACCUCAUCCAUUCCCCACACUCCCACAAAUCAGGAGCAAAAUCCCGGCGGAGGCAGCGGCGAUUCCGGUGUGCGCUACGGAGGAGAGUGGAGGUGGAGGCUCGGCGACGAGCUGCCUGGGACAGCGGCAUGGACGCGUCCGCGGCGGGGGAGAAGCGAUGGAGUCCUUCCCAACGGCGUCUUCUCGUCGGCGAAGAGUGAAUCUCCCUCCAUGGGAUCUCGCGGGCUCACCUCAAGCUCGAGCUCGACUCUGGCCAGGCGCGCCGCGCCCACUAUGGCCAGUUCCGGCGCCCCCCGCAGCCCGCUUGCCCCAUCGUUCCCCGCCUCCGUCCGUCGACAGGGGAGCUCCGGAUUUUUGCGGGAGAAGGCCAUGGACGCUGGUGGCCAGCAACCUUUGCCACGCCCCGUCCCCCUCUCCAACUCCCCGACGAUCCUCCUGAAGGUCAGCAGCGCCGCAGCGGUGGUGACGACGACGAGGGAGCCGAGCACGCGGCGGCUGACUCGAGCGCGUGGAGGCGCACUGCGCGCGCGGUCUCGCAUCAUCUUCUGUGCAAGCAGGUCGCUGCGCCACCAGGGAGCUCGAGACGGCCGUGCCGUGCACCCAAUCCACCGAGUGCCUCCUCCACCAGGACGCCGUCUUCGCCCCCCUCCUCCACUAGACGCCAAGGGCACAAUAGAAUGCGGACGGGGGAGAUAGAGCUGCUCCUCAAGUCUGGGGCGCGUCGACGGGAGGUCGCCUUCAACAUGGUCGACUGCGAUUUCAAGGUCUUCGAGGGAAAAUGGUCUGUCCAGGAGCAUGGCAAAUCUCUUUUGCACGGGACCAUGGCAAAUUAAGUCUAUGCAUCAUGGAAAUCUUAGUGUGUGGGUCAUGGCAUUUUGUAGUUUACAUUUUAGUCUAUGGAUCAUGGCAUGAGAUUAUAGCCUAUGCAUUUAUGUCAUAAGAUCAUGGCAACAUUCCGUAGUUUUUUUCAUUUAUUUUUUAAUACGCAAUUUUUUGCCAUGUACAGUGGGAAACUUACAAGUACUUUCUUUUUAAAAAUUAACAUCCCCCCCGCCCCCCAAAAAAAACUUGCCAUGUCCUUUUUUAGAGAAUAAAAUUUGUAAAGCUUGCCAUGUGUAACAUUUUUGCCUUUGUCCAUAUUCAUCAUCACAAUUUUUGUACUAAAUUUUCUUCUUUUAUCAUGCAUGUUUUAUUUUUGUAACGUACUGAACAUAGCCAUUUUUUGUGUAUCUCAGUUGGCAAUUAAUCACUCAUUGUAAAUCCUAAUGCAGUAUCAUUUUCUGAAUUUUCUGUAUUGUAUAGUUUUUCCUCUACUAAUUUUACAUCUGUAUACAUUUUUCUCUAUAUUGUUGGUGCAAAGGGAUUUUUGUUUGGGCCAGGAAGCUAAUAUUGGGCCUGUCUGGUGCUGAGAGGCUGUUCGUAUCGAACAGAACAGUUCGGUCGAUCGCUACUCUCGUGCCGAACGAAACGUUCGGUCUGGUGCCUUCCCAGACCGAACGUUCGGCCGUUAUCGGCGUCCAAAAACAUUUCCAAGACACGGCGUGGAUGGGCAUCGCUACGGUAGAAAUUCCCCCAAUUCGAGACGGAAGCACCGCACCCCUGCCCGCUCCACUUUCCUUUUAUUUCCGUGACGAACCCAGCAGCUCCACUUUCCUUUUAUUUCCGCCGCCACGCCAUCUCGGCCAAGCCGCGUCCGGCUGCCGCCACCGCCUCUGCCCCGGCUAUAAAGGCGCGCCCUUGGCCGGCCCGCUCCUCGUCCUCCUCCUCACUUCGUCCGGGCCGCGCCUUCCCCCUCCUCGCCGCGCUCUGCCCAGUCCGCUCCCCCUCCUCCUCUCAUCGCCCGGGCCGUGCCUUCCUCCUCCUCGCCGCGGUCCGGCCGGUCCGCUGCUCCUCCACCCUUCUUCCGGGCCGUGCGUAUGUCCUCCUCGAGCCGGGUUUUAUCUUGCUCGCCCUCCUCGGUCGAUUUGCCCGUUUAGAACCGCGUCUGGAUUUGAUUUUGCUCGUCCUCCAUCGAUUUGCCCGUUUAGAGUCGCGUCCGGAUUUGAUUUUGCUUGCUCGUCCUAGCCGUAGCCGGUUUAGAUGGAAAUCCCGCCUGAUGUGAUGUUGCUCGUCCUCGCCGUCGUCCGUUUAGGACCGCGUCCGAUUUGAGUUUGCUCGUGCUCAGUUCGUCGGUUUAGAGUCGCCUCCGAGUUGAUUUUGCUCGUCCCCGCCGUCGUCAGUCUAGAGUCGCUUCUGAUUUGGUUCUGCCCGUCCUCGCCGUCAUCCGUUUUCGUUUUGCUCGUCCGCGCCGUUGCCCCGACGCGCCCGCAUGUUCUUGGUCCGCCUUGUCGAGGGUCUCCGUCUGGUUCGCGAUGGAGAAAUUUCUGCGUGCGUUUCGUGUUCGUGUCAGCGCGAGCGUUGCAGGAACGCUCGGGUCUUGGUUUUGAAAUUGGGUUACGGGCGGAGAUGGAGAGACGGAGAGUAAUUGUCAGUUUGGCGUGCUAGUUCAAAUCGGUUCCUAGGCUCCUGCGUUGUUCGUCGGUCGUUUUUCAGAUCUCAAACGGCUAGCUUUGUUCGUGUUCGUCCGUCGAGACGUGCCCUUUGAUGCUCUGGUUCCUCUAGUUCAGAUUGUACCAGCUAGCUUUUCACUUUCGUCAGGCGUGUGUGCUCUCAUCCUAGAUGCAGGGGUCAUUUGUUCUGAUGGGUGUUACUGCUUCUGUUCUUUUCAAUUGGUUACUUCCUAUCAUGCUUUGCUUAUGUUCCAUAUAUGGUGAUGUGUGUUCAGGGGUGCAAACCAUGUAGGCUGUGGGUGCCAUUUCCAGCAGGCAGCAGAGCAGAAAGUUUUAAAAGAGUGCAAAUCAUGUGGCUGCUGCUUGACUAAUUGAACACCUGCUGCUGCUACUGUUGGACAAGGUUUCCUUGUUUUCUUCCUCGUCUUGCUGUUUCCAUUUUCAUACAGGAGUACUAGAUGAGGUGCUGCUAGUCCCUUAGAUUUCGUACUAGAUUGCAUAGCAUGACUCUAGAAUUUUUUCAUUGCACACCUGGGCAUAUGAUUCUGCUGUGAGCAUAAUUCCAGAGUUUAUUUAUCUGUGAAAGCACGCUCAUCACAUGUUUUUUUUAUCAAUGCUGCUCACUUUUUUCAUGUCCCUUUUGUUUGUCCUGUUAAAUUUUAUGGAGCAAAUUUUGUACUCACUGGUUAAAAUAUCAAGAAUGCUGACUUCUGUGUUUGUCGCUAUGUAAGCCAUGCACUUGGGAAGACUGGGCGUGAUUAGGAUUUGGAUUGCAUAUAGAUUUUAUGCUAUGUUUGUUUAUAACCUGGUUGUGACCUAAUAUACUGUAAAUCUGCUAAUUUUUUAAUUUAAUUUAUGUUCAACGCAAGUAGGUUUUGUUCGUAAGUGGUAUUUCUUUUGCGUGUGCAUGAACAUUCACGCUGUCAAUUUUUCUUAUCAUAAUCAUUUACCAUGGUGUUUGACAAUACAUUUCUACUGUUCUUUGUUCCCUUUUGAGGUUCACUGACUCAAUUUUGCAUGAGAUUUGAUAGCAAUUACUGAUGUCCAGUCACUGAAAUAAUAUGCUUUUCUUGCUUUGCCUAGACUUUGUGACAAGAAUAAGCAUGCGUCUCUGUGCCUACAAACUUGUGGGUAGUGAUGAAGAUCUAACCUGUUUUCAGGAAUGAACAUCUGAAUUACCCUCACCCCUCUACAGAAAUCAGUUUACAGUUUACUCAUUCAGUUCCUAGAAAUUCUUUAUAGCUUUCUGAGUUUACUUCGGUCUUGCAUGUGUUAGCUUUUUGUUUGUACCCUUAUCUAUGUCUGUUUCUUUGUGUGUUUCUUGUGUGCAAGCGCUCCAUUGUGUGUGUCUGACUGUAUGUGUGAUGUGCCCCUAUCUAUGUAUGUUUCUUUGUCUGUUUCAUGUGUGCAAGUGCUCCAUUGUCUGUGUGUGACUGUGUUUGAUUGCUUAGAUGGGGUGAUUCUGAUUGUGUUACUGCUUAUAUGGUCUGUCCAAUUGGUUUCAUAUUCAUGCUUUGCUUGUGUUCCAAUGUCGUCUUCCCAUAUAUGGGGAUGUGUUCAGAGAUGCAAACCAUUUAGGCCGUUUCGAGCAGGCAGGGAUCCAGAGACGUGCACUGUUCAGGCUUCUCUCCUACUGAUAGAUGAUGAUAGGCUGAGCAGAAAAGUUUGACUCUUGUAACACUCACUUGCUUGGCUUCCACUCCUUUGCGUGGCCGAUUUGGCAUCCAAUGCAUCCCAUGCCCCUUUCCCUGUUUAUCUCACUCACUCAUCACAGCACUCUUUUCCCUGUUUUUAUUCCUUAAUUUUUCUUAUCAUAAUAAUCAUGUUUACCGUGGUCUUUGACAAUACAUUUUUUGUGAUAUCUGUGUUUCGUUAUGUCUUAUGUGGAUAUCAUAUUCUUUUUUUUUUUUGUAUUACUGCUGUCCAAUCACUGGAAUAAUGCUUUUCCUAAGUAUUUCAGGUAGGAUAUAGACAAAUGUCACAUUUGCUCUUCCUUGUGUUGCUAAGGACACUGAUGGGUUGGGUUUGCUUACAGCGCAGGACAGAUAAUUCUAUAAAGAAUCAUUGGAAUAUUUCUUUGAGAAAGACGUUAGAUGUCUAUAGCACCAGAAAUAUUUUGGCGAUUCCAAGACUAAUUGGCCUUAAUGACUUACGGAUAAACAGAAGACGGCUGCUUCUGAGUGCCAUCUUGAUCUGAACAGCUCAUCAUUCUAAUCUUAGCUCACCUCUACAGUCAUACAAACUGGCAUGCCAAGGACUGCUCAGGGUUCCUAUCGCUUUCUGUUUUACCAACUAAGGUUCAUCUUGUGACACAAAAUACAAUUUUGGUACGUGCAGACUCUGAAAUUUGGUGAUAAAGAAGGUACCUCCUAAUUUGCUCUCAGGCUCUCUUACACUUGUCUUUGUUUAUAUAACAGUAGUAGCCGUUGGGUAAUGCAGAGAGAGGUUUGGAAUCGAAGAACUAAAAUAAUGCAGAGGUUAAGGUUCUGAUCGGGAAGCUUGAACAAAUAGUUUACUUUUUCUCUUGUCUUCGAUUAGUUUCAUCCUAUCUAUGCUGUUUCUUGGGUGCAAACACUCCAUUGUGUCUGUGUGACUGUGUGUGACCGUGACUGUGUGUGUGACUGACUGUUUGUGUGUGUGACUGACUGUGUGUGUGUUUCUUUGUCUGUUUCUUGUGUGCAAGCGCUCCAUUGUGUGUGUGUGUGUGUUUUGACUGUGACUGUGUAUUGAUUGUGACUGUGUGAAUGUCUCUGUGUGUGUGUUGACUGACUGUGUGUCAUUGUGCAAGCGCUCCAUAACUACCAGUUGGCACCUGAUAAUGCAUGGAUAUUUCUAUAUAAGGUCAUGGGCAUGUAAUUUUUAUGACCUACAUACCUCUGUAGUUGGUAGUAUCAUUGCCCUUUGGACACUCUUCAAUGCAUUGCUGUAUAUUUUCCUGCCACAAGUAUGAUGUUUGUGCUCAGAAUGAUGUAUAUGUAGAAUCCAGGGGUGGAUGGAGGUUUUCAUGAUGGCUAAUCUGAUUUGUUAUGGUUCUGAUGGUGUGCUUCUGGUGUUUGAACUGAACCCGUGGAUCACCCAUCAACCUGGUCUGUGUUUGUAUGGUAAUCCCUCUCGAAUUUAACUCCUUCCAAUUUUGUACACAAUAUUUAUCUCACGGCUGGUAAUACCUUAUGAAUGCAUAUCACACAUUUUAGCUAGUUAUAUAGUAAUGCCAUACUCCUUUGGACGUUCUGUAUAUUCAAGUGUGGUGAGCUCACAUAUUGUGUCAGUAUCUACCUACGCAGCUGAAUUAUUUCCGGAUAGGACAGAGGUGCAAUGUUUACAUCCAUGGCAGAAGGUUCUUUUUCAAAGGUCCUUGGACUCAAGAGGAAGAUGACAAAAUUAUCGACCUUGUAAACAAGUACUCCCUCCGUUCCAAAAUUGGGUAUUCUUUUGAUAUAACUAACAAAAUAGUCUCAUUGCAAGGCCAGCUACCAGAACUUCCUGUUGAUGAUCCUGGGAUGUUUACGAACAUGCUCCCGAACAUGUUCAAUUUAUCCGCCCUAGUACAGCCAUGACACAGCAGGUUACUCGGCAUGCUCGGUGUGUUUACUUCGGUGGACUUCCUCCGAUCGCUAAUGAACAGACGGUUACUCUAUUGUUCAAUCAAGUUAUGGCUGCUAUCGGGGAAACUCAUUUGGUCUGGGUGAUGCAGUUGUUAAUAUGAAGCUGAUUUUUGAAUUCAUUCAAAACAUCUUAGGUGGCAUAAUCAUGAAUCCAACCAUAUGGAACGAUGCUUGGACUACUGAGGAGGAACAUGCACUGAUUAAUUAUGGGAAUAAAUGAGCAGAAAUAGCAGAAGUUAUUCCUGGAAGGUACUGCAUGCCAAACAACUUACAUCAUGGAUCUUGCUUGUAGUAUUAGCUUUCUGUUUGUGCCCUUUCUAUCUCUUGUGUGUGUGUGACUGACUGUGUGUGUGUGUGUGACUCUGUGUAUGUGUGACUGUUACUCUGUGUGCGUGACUGACUCUGUGUGACUGUUACUCUGUGUGUGUGACCGACUCUGUGUGACUGUUACUCUGUGUGACUGUUACUCCGUGUGUGUGACUGACUCUGUGUGACUGUGACUCUGUGUGACCGACUGUGUGUGCUUGAUGGUGUGUCCUGUAUGCUUUGCUUGAUGAUGUGUCCUGUAUGCUUUGCUUGAUGAUGUGUCCUGUAUGCUUUGCUUGAGUGAUUG